GCAGCGGAGGGAAGAAUGAAGAAAGGAAGGAGGGACUGGACGGAGGGGCCGCGGCCGGAGCAGGAUGUAUGGAAGCCAGCGAGCCCUGCAGAGGAUGCUGGGCUAAAGGCAUUCCCAGACGCGUAGCUUAGGUUACACAACGGGUGACACCUUCUGUGCGGCGUGACACCGGGCUUCGCAGUGGCCACUGUGGGCAUUGCCUUCUAGGAAGGAAGCAUCCUAGAUUGCAGGGGUUUCUGCCGGCAGCUCUACGCUUCUCGACCGCAUCAUCAUGUGCCCACACCAUGCCUCCUUACAUCAAGGAUCUACGAUGUCAUCGGUGUGGGCAAUCUCUCCACUGACUCAGAUUGCAGCCCCUCGACAAUUUAGCCAGAUGGUUUCCAAGAGUGGUCGUGGGCGGAAACAUUCAUCACCUGCCGGCCAACCUGGUGAUGAGUCUCUAAGAACUUGGCUGGUUCCUCGUUUGUUAGGACUUCCACUAGGUGUCACCUCAGAAAAAGCCAGGGUCACCUCCCAGGCACCAGGAGGGAUGAGGCAUCAGAGACUUUAGUGGAGGUAUACCGGCUAGAUCAGGCUCAAAGGCUUUUUGUGGGCUAUGCGUCACCUAUAUGCUGUUUCCCGUCAUUUGCCAGAGAAACUCUUUACAUCUCCUCGUAGCAAGUAGGCGAUGAUUAAGUAGUUUGCCUUGUAAUGAGCGUUCAAUGCAUGCGACCAAGUUGUGUUCUGUAUAUUCCUGUUGUACAGUUCGGCUAAUUCAGGAUACACAUACAGAGAGGCCUCCUGCUGCUGCGAGGUUUUAAUACUUCGAAACUUCCCUAGGACUUUAGGAACACUUUGUGUUUUAAUUAGACAAUAGAUAUGCAUAUAUACACACAUACAUGCAUAAAAAAUAAUGCACGCAUCUAUAAAGUAAUUUUACUUAAA